GGGAUUGCCCCAGUAACGGCGAGUGAAGCGGCAACAGCUCAAAUUUGAAAUCUUGGCCCCCAGGGCCCGAGUUGUAAUUUGUAGAGGAUGCUUUUGGCGCGGUGCCUUCCGAGUUCCCUGGAACGGGACGCCAUAGAGGGUGAGAGCCCCGUCUGGUUGGACACCUAGCCUCUGUAAAGCUCCUUCGACGAGUCGAGUAGUUUGGGAAUGCUGCUCUAAAUGGGAGGUAUAUGUCUUCUAAAGCUAAAUACCGGCCAGAGACCGAUAGCGCACAAGUAGAGUGAUCGAAAGAUGAAAAGCACUUUGAAAAGAGGGUUAAAUAGUACGUGAAAUUGUUGAAAGGGAAGCGUUUGUGACCAGACUUGGGCCCGGUUGAUCAUCCACCGUUCUCGGUGGUGCACUCUGCCGGCCCAGGCCAGCAUCAGUUCGCGCCGGGGGAUAAAGGCUCCAGGGAAUGUGGCUCCGUCCGGGAGUGUUAUAGCCCGUUGUGUAAUACCCUGGUGCA
rnacentral:rRNA from 1 species